CAUUUCGGCACCAACAGUAUCUUUAUUAAUUACGACGGACCAAAUAGUAAAAAUGAUCAUUAACAGCCGAAAACGACUUUACCCCUCUCUACGUUCACCCAAACAAACAAGCCCUCGAUUGCUCAUCUUCUCCUAUCUCGCUCCUCAGCUACACCCGAUCCUCUCACCCACUUCCCCAAUCUAGCUCUUCUCUCUCUCUCUCUUUCUCUCUCUCUCUCCCCUCUUUGUUCCUCCUCCUCUAUAUUCGCUACAACAGAAUUAAAUUAUAGAGACACAUGUUUGGAAUAUUUUUGUGUAACUGUCUCAUUUAUACCAAAAUGUUUUAAAAAAUACACUAAUGUGUAAAUAUAAAGUCCAAUCCAAUCAAAAAUAAAAUGUUACUCUACUCGACCGACCUCACCCAACCUAUUCGGCCCGGCUACAAAAA
rnacentral:lncRNA from 1 species